AGUGAACGCUGGCGGUAGGCCUAACACAUGCAAGUCGAACGGCAGCACAGUAAGAGCUUGCUCUUACGGGUGGCGAGUGGCGGACGGGUGAGGAAUACAUCGGAAUCUACUUUUUCGUGGGGGAUAACGUAGGGAAACUUACGCUAAUACCGCAUACGACCUACGGGUGAAGCAGGGGAACUUCGGACCUUGCGCGAAUGGAUGGGCCGAUGUCGGAUUAGCUAGUUGGCGGGGUAAAGGCCCACCAAGGCGACGAUCCGUAGCUGGUCUGAGAGGAUGAUCAGCCACACUGGAACUGAGACACGGUCCAGACUCCUACGGGAGGCAGCAGUGGGGAAUAUUGGACAAUGGGCGCAAGCCUGAUCCAGCCAUACCGCGUGGGUGAAGAAGGCCUUCGGGUUGUAAAGCCCUUUUGUUGGGAAAGAAAAGCAGCAGGUUAAUACCCCGCUGUUCUGACGGUACCCAAAGAAUAAGCACCGGCUAACUUCGUG
rnacentral:rRNA from 1 species